GUGGGGAAUAUUGGGCAAUGGGGGAAACCCUGACCCAGCAACGCCGCGUGAGGGAAGAAGGUCUUCGGGUUGUAAACCUCUGUCCUUGGGGACGAAGAAGUGACGGUACCCAAGGAGGAAGCUCCGGCUAACUACGUGCCAGCAGCCGCGGUAAUACGUAGGGAGCAAGCGUUGUCCGGAAUUACUGGGCGUAAAGGGUGCGUAGGCGGUUGAUUAAGUCAGAUGUGAAAUACCCGGGCUUAACCUGGGGGGUGCAUCUGAAACUGGUCGACUUGAGUGCAGGAGAGGAAAGCGGAAUUCCUAGUGUAGCGGUGAAAUGCGUAGAUAUUAGGAGGAACACCAGUGGCGAAGGCGGCUUUCUGGACUGUAACUGACGCUGAGGCACGAAAGCGUGGGGAGCAAACAGGA
rnacentral:rRNA from 1 species